rnacentral:misc_RNA from 1 species
AUGUCGUAACGAGGUUUCCGUAGGUGAACCUGCGGAAGGAUCAUUAACACGUAUCCAAACGUUAAAACCCCCAUCCUUGCACAAUCAAUGACACUUUCCGACACUGACUGCUUGGGGAAACAUUGCCUAUAGAACUACCGCUCGAUUGUAACUGUUCCAAUGUUCGCACGUAGCCAGAGGUCUCUGAAUCACUACAACUUUCCGGGCUAUGAUUUAUCAGAGAUUGCGAACUACGCGGGUUACAAGAGCAGGACGAAGGUUCACGGGGUAGCGCUUCUACGAUUCCUGUAGACCGUACACUCGGGCAGGAGCUUUGCCAAUGCCCCCUAAUACCCCCACAGUUUAAUGUGAAGCUCAAUGUAAUACAUUGGGUAAAAAAACCGAAACAACUGUUAACAAUGGAUAUCUUGGUUCUC